GCGCACCGCUACCCUCGCCACGAAAACAAGCUGAGAAUAUAUUUACGAACUCGAAUCGUGCAACCGCUAGAAGGACGAUUUACCGCAUAUCCUACCUGCCGAAAUGGAGUACAAGAAAUUCGCAGGUUUUGAGGAGGCCGUGAAGCGGCAAGCACUGGAAAAUCCAUAUCUGACGGCUAUCUCGCCAGAGGUUCGGGCCACCGCGAGCAGUCCGCCUCUGACGCUACGACUGGUAGGGCUGCCGGCAAAGAAAGUCCUGCGAGUAAAGAUCAGGACGAAUUCUGAGACGUCUAGUCACGAAUACUUGGACCUAGAUGUCGAGGAAUUAUAGGAUCUCUCCAGUCGAGUGCAUAUCGGCACUAUACUCACAAUGACAUUGCUGGCGCAUCAAAACCCAGCAUUGCUACUGUUGCUGAGGUGGGUAGCAAUUAAGCAUGAAGAAGGGUAGCAACAGGAGUACAUGGUUUUACCCCGCGAUACCAAUCAAGGCUUCACUCUGCUCCACGUUAUGCUGCAAUGAUUGGGGAGGUAUGAAACACGGGAGAUUCUCCACUCGAUCCUGAGAGGUCACGCGUGCUGACUCCAUUGACCUUCAAGAUCUGAUUGGCUUGAGGUGCUUUUUAUGCCGAUGUGAACUGUUUGUGAUGGCCUAUAGGUGGCCUAUCAUUAAGCGCUGGGUUGGCAAGAGGCAAUAUAUCCGUGGCUGCCUUAUGAGCUUUGUGUGAAUAGACUUGUAUUCUAGUAAAGGAUGACAGACAAAUAUCUAUGCAAAGGCCUGUCUUUCAUAUUUGUAGUUCAACUUGCUAUAAAGUUGUGAACACUACUAUGAAAUGGAAAUUCCAGUCAGAUAUACUUGUAAAGUUUUCCAGACAUGGAAAUGCUUUGCAAUGAUGAUUAGGAGAUAAUUUCAUGGAAAUUUUGCUGUGCAUUUCUAUAGGAAUUUUUAAAAGGGAACGAGCUGACAUUUUAAUCCAAAAUAAGAAUUAAAUAAUUUGUAAAUAUGUAAAUAGUCAACUUGAAUUAUUUAUGUCUGCAGCUUAUAUACUUUGUCUGUAUAGAGAAAGCUUGCCAUGAACAAUGUUUGUUCAUUGCUGUUAUACAGUGAUUGACUUGUACUUGGCUUCUAUACUGAGAAAUAUCUUGGUCAAUAGAAUGGGCCAAUAUGCACUCGUUUUUUAAAUAAUUAUAUUUUUAUUAAGCUAUUGCACAAUAAAUAUUGAAUAUAAAAUGGUGAUAAUACCCUGAAAUUAUAUUUUGGUGUAUUGUUGGUGAAUUGUAGUUAAGUGCUGUAAGUUUAUGUUGGUAAUGUAUUUAGCCUGGUGAAAAAUGAAAAUGUGUGAGCAUGGGGUUCUAAUUACGAGUAAUUUACAUAAGCAUGCCACCCUUGAUCUCAUGGCUGGGUACUAUGUACUACAUGAAAUUACAUGAUGAUACUACCCUGAAACUAGAAAAUGAGAACUGUCAAAAGUGAACCUUAUAAUACAUUUUUCACAAGGCAAACAUUAGUUAAAUAAAACAUCUGUGAUGUAUUCUAUUUUGAAAAAAAUAAUUAUCUUAAAAUG